rnacentral:rRNA from 1 species
AGUGAACGCUGGCGGUAGGCCUAACACAUGCAAGUCGAACGGCAGCACAGUAAGAGCUUGCUCUUACGGGUGGCGAGUGGCGGACGGGUGAGGAAUACAUCGGAAUCUACUUUUUCGUGGGGGAUAACGUAGGGAAACUUACGCUAAUACCGCAUACGACCUACGGGUGAAAGCAGGGGAUCUUUGGACCUUGCGCGAUUGAAUGAGCCGAUGUCGGAUUAGCUAGUUGGCGGGGUAAAGGCCCACCAAGGCGACGAUCCGUAGCUGGUCUGAGAGGAUGAUCAGCCACACUGGAACUGAGACACGGUCCAUACUCCUACGGGAGGCAGCAGUGGGGAAUAUUGGACAAUGGGCGCAAGCCUGAUCCAGCCAUACCGCGUGGGUGAAGAAGGCCUUCGGGUUGUAAAGCCCUUUUGUUGGGAAAGAAAAGCAGCAGGUUAAUACCCCGCUGUUCUGACGGUACCCAAAGAAUAAGCACCGGCUAACUUCGUG